UCGGACGUGGUGCACGGCGCACACCCACUCUCCCUAGUAAGCGCAUGAUGCAAAGAAGUUCAGUGGGAGCCCCGGGUUCGAUUCCCGGCGUCUGAA